AGAUAUAAAGCAGAAAGUCCAAGAUAAGUACAGAUACUGUGAGAGUCGACGAAGGGUUUUGUUACAGCAUGUGCAUGAAGGCUAUGAAAAAGAUCUGUGGGAGUACAUUGAGGACUGAGACUGGCCCUGCAUAAAAUGAACUCUGAAAACUUUACCAUCUAGAGUGCUCAUGCAAUUAAAACAAACACAAACAAGGAGGCACUAAGCCUGUUCUGACACCGCUGGUCUGUAGUACCAGAAUUCUGUUUUGUUAACGGAAAGUUUAAGUAAAUUAUAUUGUAAUAAAAAAGGUAGAUAAACCAUUGUACAACAGUAUUCUAGGCCGCCAACAAAGUGUGACAGACACACAAAAGCCCUCCAACUUUAACUUGUAACGUAGCUUCAUUCUCAACGCUGACUUCCUUUUUCUUUUUCCUGAGUGUAGUACAGUUAAAAUUUCAAUAGCUCCUUGACACUGCUUUUCAUGUCCAAACCAGCCAUUUUGUUGUACUUUGGUAAAGGACCUCUUCCCCUUCCUCCCCUGCACAUACACACCUCCACACACAGUUGGAUUCACUUUCUCUCAUACCCUCAGGUCAUGAGUGAAUAAUGAUUAUUAGCUACUUGUAAAGGAAAUUCUUUGGAGGGAGAAGGGGAUAGGCAGCAAGAGGAUUAAAAAACAAAAAACACAAAAACUUUGUAUAUGACUUUUAAAACAAGAGGACAACACAGUAUUUUUCAAAAUUGUAUAUAGCGCAUAUGCAUGGAUAAAGCAAGCGUGGCACGUGUUUGCAUAAUGUUUAAUUACAAAAAUAUUUAUUCUUUAAAAAGCUUCAAGAUUAUGUCUAUUUGCUGUGCAUUUUCUUUCAGUUGGCUUUAUCUUUCUAGGGUUGGGUUGGGAUAAAGGUGUUUGUUAAGCCCCUCUGCAAGACCUAACUAGAGUGCUUUCCCCCUCCUGAGGUCAGUUUGCCCUUUGUGGUUUGGUUGUAUCUUUUGCUGGCCAUGGGCCUCAUGCCUAGAAUUCUCCGCUUCUGGAUCUAGAUCCAGGAAGUCACAUUCUAAGCAAAUGCCUCGGCCUGUUAAAGGGUUUAGUUGCUUCAGUUCAUGAAUGAUCCUAUCCCAGCCUACUCCUCUGUGGCCUUGACGCCCCCAUUCCAGCCUGUGUGCCCACACCACGCACACUGCCUGCCGUAGGCUUUCUAGGCUUCCCAUCACAUCUCGGGGAGGCAUUUCAAAGUUUCUUUUCCUGUUUUAUUUUUCCUGAAUUGCUGCUUUGAGCCUUUUAAAUUUUAGUUAUGGCUCGUCUCUCAUCCCUUCUUUAUGUUAGGGUGUUGAAUACAAUGUUUUCACUUUAAAUAUAAAUAAAUAGCCAUUCACUUAGUCUGAGAUUGUGAAUUAAAAUGGUGGAUACUGAAAUUACUUGUGUGUGUUGCGGUGGGUUCAGUUUGAAGGCAAACACCACUAGAACAUGAUACUCCCAUCCAGUACAUUUGAGUAGGAAUCACUGAGUUUUGCUUCUUUUCUAUUGUCAGCAUAUAGGAGAAUAAUGCAUUUUAGCUGUGAUGUCCAUUUUUAUGAAAUUUCUACUAAAAGCUAUGUUAAAAGUAAAGGAUGGUGGUGGUUUUAUUAACUAUAUACUUGUUUAGGCCAUUCUGCCUGUGGUAUUUUUCAACAGGUCAGCAUCCCUAAGACUGUCAGUUUUAUAUAAGAGUGCAGAGUGAACUAGGCAACUAGAUCAAGAGGUAAAACUAUUAAAUGCCAGUUUUGGCUGAGGACCUCUUUGUCUUCCUUUAACUGUCCUGUGCCUAGGGAGUGUUUACCAUUUGUGAGGCAGCCGUGCCUGCUCUUGCAGUGUACAUCUUAUUACUCCAUUGGGAAGUAGGCUCACUUUCCUCUGGCUUUUUGCCUAAGUUAGGCUUUGCUGAAUCACCCUACUUUUCCUUUUAGAAAGGUUGUUACAUGAGAUGUACUUGCAACUGUUCUUUUCCCAUCAGAAAUCAGUGAAUGUUUGCUGAGUAUAUUAUGCUGCUUCCUCAAACCACUUGUCGCUUUAGGAUCAACUUGUAUCUUUUUCUUCCCUUUCCUUGUCACCUCAGGUGGCAAAUCUGAAGUCAAGUGUCUGCUUUUCCAUUUUCUCUAUCCCCUAUCAUUCUCCCAUUAUCCAUUUGACUUUAUUUUAAAUAAUUGCAUCAAUCUUAAGACCUUUAUCAACACCAAGGAGAUUUCAAAGAAAGCUCAAGUAAGUUCCUUUUCCUGGUGACUUUGAAAAGCGACCAGAAUUGUCACAUAGAUAUAUGUGGUCCCUUAAAAUGCUUUGUGUAUGUGGUGUUUAAAAAGAGUUGACUUCACAGUAUCUAGGUCUGAGUGUCAUAAGUUCUCUUCAUGCUCUGCCCUGCAACAAGCGUCCAAAAAAGAGUGUGCAUCUCAUAGUCUCAGUCCCCACCACGGAGGGAUAGUGUAGUUGGUGACACUUUCUAGUCCCACAUGGGACCUGAGGAUAUUGCACUCACAAUUUGUGUGGAUCAAGGGGAACUGGCUCUUCUGCUACAUCCAAGUUUUUAACAACCGUCUCCAUAUCUGACAGCAUUUCCAGAAUUUACCUGCCUUUGUCAGUAGCUAGCUUCAGUGCUCCCAGCUGGGACAGGCAAGCCAUAUUGUUAACAGCUUCCCUAUUUGACCUACCCAAGUCUCUCAGAGGGCUCUACUUAAACAUCAGGGUCUCCCUGUGUUGUUGAGAUCAGUUACAUUGUCAGUGCAUGCUUCAUUUGAGCAAUUCAUUGAGCAACAGGUGAAUUUUCAAUGAUUUACAAUAAAAUUUUGAUCCAAAGCUCAGGAGACAUACCAUAGUGGUAAAUGGAGUAGCAUAUAACAUUACCAGACUCUAAAUUCUUUGUAAUUUGCUGCAACCCAGAUUGUAUAUGUUUUAUGUGUGUUCAAAUAAAUAUAUU
rnacentral:lncRNA from 1 species